rnacentral:rRNA from 1 species
GUGGGGAAUCUUAGACAAUGGGCGCAAGCCUGAUCUAGCCAUGCCGCGUGAGCGAUGAAGGCCUUAGGGUUGCAAAGCUCUUUCGCUGGGGAAGAUAAUGACUGUACCCAGUAAAGAAGCCCCGGCUAACUCCGUGCCAGCAGCCGCGGUAAUACGGAGGGGGCUAGCGUUGUUCGGAAUUACUGGGCGUAAAGCGCGCGUAGGCGGAUUGGAAAGUUGGGGGUGAAAUCCCGGGGCUCAACCUCGGAACUGCCUUCAAAACUCCCAGUCUUGAGUUCGAGAGAGGUGAGUGGAAUUCCGAGUGUAGAGGUGAAAUUCGUAGAUAUUCGGAGGAACACCAGUGGCGAAGGCGGCUCACUGGCUCGAUACUGACGCUGAGGUGCGAAAGCGUGGGGAGCAAACAGGAUUAGAUACCCUAGUAGUCC